UUGCUUCGGCAGGCUGUCCCAGGGCGGGACUGUGGCCGCAAGGCGCCUGCCGAAGGUAUCAAACUCUUCUCUUUAUAGCAGUCUCUGAGUACUACACAAAUAAGUUAAAACUUUCAACAACGGAUCUCUUGGCUCUAGCAUCGAUGAAGAACGCAGCGAAAUGCGAUAAGUAAUGCGAAUUGCAGAAUUCCGCGAGUCAUCGAAUCUUUGAACGCACAUUGCGCCUGCUAGUAUUCUGGCAGGCAUGCCUGUCCGAGCGUCAUUUCGACCCCCAGGCCUCAGUUGCCUGUUGUUGGGGCUCUCUGGCGGCGCUAGCCCCAGAGCCCUAAAAGACAGUGGCGGGCUCGCCAGGUCACCGAGCGUAGUAGAUUUCUUUCUCGCUUAGGGGACUCGGUGAGUGCUAGCCGUGAAAACCAAUUAUAUUACAAUGGUUUGACCUCGGAUCAGGUAGGAAUACCCGCUGAACUUAAGCAUAUCAAUAAGCGGAGGAAAAGAAACCAACAGGGAUUGCCCUAGUAACGGCGAGUGAAGCGGCAACAGCUCAAAUUUGAAAUCUGGCCUUGGCCCGAAUUGUAAUUUGUAGAGGAUGCUUUUGGUGCGGUGCCUUCUGAGUUCCCUGGAACGGGACGCCAUAGAGGGUGAGAGCCCCGUAUAGUCGGACACCUAGCCUCUGUAAAGCUCCUUCGACGAGUCGAGUAGUUUGGGAAUGCUGCUCAAAAUGGGAGGUAAAUCUCUUCUAAAGCUAAAUACCGGCUAGAGACCGAUAGCGCACAAGUAGAGUGAUCGAAAGAUGAAAAGCACUUUGAAAAGAGGGUUAAACAGCACGUGAAAUUGUUGAAAGGGAAGCGCUUGUGACCAGACUUGUGCCCGGUUAAUCAUCCAGCGUUCUCGCUGGUGCACUUUGCCGGGCUCAGGCCAGCAUCGGUUUUCGCGGGGGGAUAAAAGCUUCGGGAAUGUAGCUCCCUCGGGAGUGUUAUAGCCUGUUGUAUAAUACCCUCGCGGGGACCGAGGU
rnacentral:rRNA from 1 species